CGUUUCAGCUUUUCUUCUAAGUCCACGAAAUUCUCAUUUCUCUGUCAGAGAUAGGAGAGAGCUGCACUGAGAACAUCAGGCUGUGCUCCGAGGCACACACAGCUUGGAUGUGCUGCAGCACAAAAGCAUUUAACAUCUCCCACAUAGCAGGCACAGCUGGCACUUGAGAUAACAAGUCCAAGGAUGAAAGUGGUGGUGGAACAACCCACAGACCCUCUGUCCUUCCCACACAGCAGUCACACUGGGGGAUCAAUGCUGCCCCAUUGCCACUUGCUCUACUGGGUGUUGGAGGAGGAAGAAUUAAAACCUUUUCUGGGGAGUCUUUGCUCUGGGGAGCCACAUAACAGUAGUGAGAAAGACUUGAGAGCAGUUCCUGUUUCCUAAUGCACUUCGAAGAAUGAACAAAUCUUGUAAACCAUAAACAUCCGUUCCCAGUGUCACUGAAGACUGUUGAGGGAACGCAGGGAUUCUGCAAACCAAGGACUCUACUUGGUAAAGAACUGCCCUUCAGCUAUAGUUUAUCUAUUUGUUUGCUUUCAUACAUUUUAACCAAUAGCAUGACGUGCUGUGAUUCUGAGUUGCUGUGUCCUUUUUUUUCUUUUCAGGGCAGAUAUAGGCAACAGUGAAUUUUCUGUACUCAAUAUUUAGUCUGUAUAGCAUAAAAGGAUAACAAAAUGCUACUUGUCUCAGUGCACUGGGGUGUGUGCCACCUAUAACCUGUUAAAGGAAAUAAGGACAUUGAACUAGAUAUAUAUGAUCUGUGUUUUAGUUUUGCAUUUUUUUUUAAUUGCCUGUUACUUCAUUGCCCAAGGUCAGUCUUUGUCAGACAAGUGGACCAACAGUUCUCUAGAGUAACAUAAAACCAUUAAGUUGCUCUUUGAUCUUGCACCUUCUUUAGAACCUUUUAAUCAAUUAACCAUGAAGCUACUCAGCUUGUCUUAUUUCCUGCACAUAAAACUACUUUGGUCUAGCUGACAUGUUACUACAUUAUAGAUCAAAGAUUGAAGGAAACUUCACAUCCAGCCAGGAUAAUUAUGUGGAUUUUUUUCUGUAUCUAUUAGAUAAUUUUUCAUCCCUCAGAUAGAGGAAAACAGCAUUUUGAUCUAGAUUGAAUAAAGGAUUUGUGUGUAUUUUAAAGGGUGACUAAAUGGAUUUUAGUAUAAUUGACCUUACUCGGGAUGUGAACUAUUUCAUGGCUAGUUUGCUGAGCCUCAACUGUCCCUAUAUAUAUUGAGAGUACCCACUAUUGAUAAUAAGAGAAAACAUGACCUACGGGAAUAGGAGCACUGAUCUCUUUUUUAGGAUACCUCUAAACAAGAUAGAGAAAUUAAAUACUGAAUGUACUGUAAUGUGAUGCAAAUCAAAAUCCUUUUAGUCCAGGAAUUCAAGUUUGAUAUAGUUGUGGUUUCAGGCUUGUAGGCCCACACUUCUGCAAUUUUACUGGUUGAUAGUAAAACUUUUUAUCAAAGGAAUCAGAGAUCCCCUCAGUAUUAUAUUCUUUUAGAUCUGUGGAUGUUUAUAUUAGUACUUACUAGUUAUAUGGAAGUUAAGGUGUCUCAAAAUCUACUCCCCAUUCCUUCUGGACAAAUCCUAGAUUACACAAACUUACUUAAUUUACCUCUUUCUGAGCUUCCCCCUGAAGUGCACAGAGUGUCACCCAUACUGGUCCUAUGCAGCAAAACAUCUGCUUACUUGGGUUUUGUUCCAGGCAUAUUUUGCACAGCUGCUUCCUGUGGCAUCGGCAUAUUCUCCUUAUGCUUCCUGAUGCUGAAAGCUGAGCUGGCCUGGCCCACAUGUAAGAGUGUCACCAGGUGUAUGCAUUGGCAGCACCUGGAAAUAUAAAGAAUCAGCAUAAUUUCUUAAGAAAAAACAAUGCCCUAUUAUGUUGUAUGUUUUUUUUUCUUUUUGUUGUUUGUUUGUUUUUGUUUUUAAGUAGUAAAGCAGCUUCUUUUGAAAGUAGAUUCUUUUGAAAGAAUCUGCUUUGUGAAAUGGUGGUGUAGAAUAUUCUUCAUAGAUAUCCCCCUAUUCUCUGAAGGUGUACCUUAUAUCUAGACUCUCUACACUUCAAAGUAGAUAGGAAAUGGGAACCCUUGUAGCUGUUAUAAAUCACAUUAUUUUCAUGCUAAGUUUAAGCCAUGCUCUAUUUGCAAAUCUGUAUUGAUUUUUCUGAAUGUUAUGCUUCCUUUAACUAAACAGGUCCCCGCUGAUGUUUGUCAUCUUCCUUGUAAGCUG
ensembl:lncRNA